rnacentral:rRNA from 1 species
CUAACUGGAGGACCGAACCGACUAAUGUUGAAAAAUUAGCGGAUGACUUGUGGCUGGGGGUGAAAGGCCAAUCAAACCGGGAGAUAGCUGGUUCUCCCCGAAAGCUAUUUAGGUAGCGCCUCGUGAACUCAUCUUCGGGGGUAGAGCACUGUUUCGGCUAGGGGGUCAUCCCGACUUACCAACCCGAUGCAAACUACGAAUACCGAAGAAUGUUAUCACGGGAGACACACGGCGGGUGCUAACGUCCGUCGUGAAGAGGGAAACAACCCAGACCGCCAGCUAAGGUCCCAAAGUCAUGGUUAAGUGGGAAACGAUGUGGGAAGGCACAGACAGCCAGGAUGUUGGCUUAGAAGCAGCCAUCAUUUAAAGAAAGCGUAAUAGCUCACUGGUCGAGUCGGCCUGCGCGGAAGAUGUAACGGGGCUAAACCAUGCACCGAAGCUGCGGCAGCGACACUAUGUGUUGUUGGGUAGGGGAGCGUUCUGUAAGCCUGCGAAGGUGACCUGUGAGGGUUGCUGGAGGUAUCAGAAGUGCGAAUGCUGACAUAAGUAACGAUAAAGCGGGUGAAAAGCCCGCUCGCCGGAAGACCAAGGGUUCCUGUCCAACGUUAAUCGGGGCAGGGUGAGUCGACCCCUAAGGC